rnacentral:rRNA from 1 species
AUUGAACGCUGGCGGCAGGCCUAACACAUGCAAGUCGAGCGGUUGAGGUAGCUUGCUACCGAAGCAGCGGCGAACGGGUGAGUAAUACAUGGGAAUCUGCCUGGUAGUGGGGGACAACGUUUCGAAAGGAACGCUAAUACCGCAUACGCCCUACGGGGGAAAGGGGGGGAUCUUCGGACCUCUCGCUAUCAGAUGAGCCCAUGUCAGAUUAGCUUGUUGGUGAGGUAAAGGCUCACCAAGGCGACGAUCUGUAACUGGUCUGAGAGGAUGAUCAGUCACACUGGAACUGAGACACGGUCCAGACUCCUACGGGAGGCAGCAGUGGGGAAUAUUGGACAAUGGGGGCAACCCUGAUCCAGCCAUGCCGCGUGUGUGAAGAAGGCCUUAGGGUUGUAAAGCACUUUCAGUGGGGAGAAAAGUGAUUCACCUAAUACGUGAGUCAAUUGAUGUUACCCACAGAAGAAGCACCGGCUAACUCCGUGCCAGCAGCCGCAGUAACAC